rnacentral:rRNA from 1 species
UGCCAGACUCCUACGGGAGGCAGCAGUGGGGAAUAUUGGGCAAUGGACGCAAGUCUGACCCAGCAACGCCGCGUGAAGGAAGAAGGCUUUCGGGUUGUAAACUUCUUUUAAGGGGGAAGAGGAGAAGACGGUACCCCUUGAAUAAGCCACGGCUAACUACGUGCCAGCAGCCGCGGUAAUACGUAGGUGGCAAGCGUUGUCCGGAUUUACUGGGUGUAAAGGGCGUGCAGCCGGGCUGACAAGUCAGAUGUGAAAUCCGUGGGCUUAACCCGCGAACUGCAUUUGAAACUAUUGGUCUUGAGUGCCGGAGAGGUAAUCGGAAUUCCUUGUGUAGCGGUGAAAUGCGUAGAUAUUAGGAGGAACACCAGUGGCGAAGGCGGCUUACUGGACAGUAACUGACGUUGAGGCUCGAAAGCGUGGGGAGCAAACAGGAUUAGAUACCCCCGUA